rnacentral:rRNA from 1 species
CGAAGCUGGAAUCGCUAGUAAUCGCGGAUCAGCACGCCGCGGUGAAUACGUUCCCGGGCCUUGUACACACCGCCCGUCACACCAUGGAAGUCUGCAAUGCCCGAAGCCGGUGGCCUAACCACUUAUGUGGAAGGAGCCGUCUAAGGCGGGGCAGAUGACUGGGGUGAAGUCGUAACAAGGUAGC